CACACUACGUUUAAACUUUAAACAUAUUCACCUUGCUCAUAUGGGCUUUUAUUGGGCUUUAUAGGCCUAAACGAUUACACUUGAUCCAUGAAACAAUUCAUCUUCGUUGCCAAAUUCUUUUUACUGCUACUGCAAAAUUGUUGUCUGAUUUCAACUAUACCAAUCGAUUCUAUAUCAAUGGAAAUUUCGUUUUCUUACUGGGUCUCUGAGUCUCCGACUGGAAUUCAACUAUACCAAUCGAUUCUACGAUAAUUGAUUCGAUCACCAUGUUCGUCGACUACGUUGGUCUUGCCACGCUUCAGCAGCUCGGUGUUUUGAAGUAGAGCUCAAGAGCCAUUGAUUCAGGCAGUGAGAUAGAGGUUGAAUUAAGAACAAGUUCCAUCUUUUGCCGAGAAAAAUGAAGCUAAGAGGAAGAACUUGAA
rnacentral:lncRNA from 1 species